AUGGCGGCAAAGAAACAACUCUUUCGCUUUGGGUAUUUCGCGAUAAAGGACGGGUCAGAGAUUCGUUUCUGGGAAGACAUCUGGCUAGGCAAUGCCAGUCUCCGAGAACAAUAUCCAGCCUUGUACAACAUUGUUCACGAUAAGAACAAUACUAUUGCGCAGGUGCUCAGCUCAUCCCCGCCGAAUAUUUUGUUCAGGCGGGAUUUGGUUGGCGCCCGACUUAUGUCAUGGCAUAAUCUCUUAUCCCGUCUGGAUCUGAUUAACCUGACGCAAGGCCGUGAUGUGUUUCGCUGGAACCUUACUACAUCGGGGUCUUUCACGGUAGACUCUAUGUAUCGUGCGCUCACGCAUUUUGAGGUACCAGAGAGCAAUAACAAAAAAUCUGGAAGACAAAGAUUCCACUAA
rnacentral:rRNA from 1 species